rnacentral:rRNA from 1 species
GACGAACGCUGGCGGCGUGCCUAGUACAUGCAAGUCGAACGAGAGCGACCGGUGCUUGCACUGGUCAAUCUAGUGGCGAACGGGUGAGUAACACGUGGGUAACCUGCCCAUCAGAGGGGGAUAACAUUCGGAAACGGAUGCUAAAACCGCAUAGGUCUUCGAACCGCAUGGUUUGAAGAGGAAAAGAGGCGCAAGCUUCUGCUGAUGGAUGGACCCGCGGUGCAUUAGCUAGUUGGUGAGGUAACGGCUCACCAAGGCCGUGAUGCAUAGCCGACCUGAGAGGGUGAUCGGCCACAUUGGGACUGAGACACGGCCCAAACUCCUACGGGAGGCAGCAGUAGGGAAUCUUCCGCAAUGGACGCAAGUCUGACGGAGCAACGCCGCGUGAGUGAAGAAGGUUUUCGGAUCGUAAAACUCUGUUGUUAGAGAAGAACAAGUGCUAGAGUAACUUUUAGC